ACUCCUACGGGAGGCAGCAGUGGGGAAUAUUGGACAAUGGGGGCAACCCUGAUCCAGCAAUGCCGCGUGUGUGAAGAAGGCCUGCGGGUUGUAAAGCACUUUCAGUAGAGAAGAAAAGCCUAGGGUUAAUACCCCUGAGUCUUGACGUUACCUACAGAAGAAGCUCCGGCUAACUCCGUGCCAGCAGCCGCGGUAAUACGGAGGGAGCGAGCGUUGUCCGGAAUCAUUGGGCGUAAAGCGCGUGUAGGCGGUUCAGUAAGUCUGCUGUGAAAGUCCAGGGCUCAACCCUGGGAUGCCGGUGGAUACUGCUGAACUAGAGUCUGGAAGGGGCGAGUGGAAUUCCUGGUGUAGCGGUGGAAUGCGCAGAUAUCAGGAGGAACACCUAUGGCGAAGGCAGCUCGCUGGGACAGUACUGACGCUGAGACGCGAAAGCGUGGGGAGCAAACAGGAUUAGAUACCCUGGUAGGCGUAGU
rnacentral:rRNA from 1 species